rnacentral:rRNA from 1 species
AGAGAGAGACAUGCGCGCAUAUCAAUAAGCGGAGGAAAAGAAACUAACUAGGAUUCCCUUAGUAACGGCGAGUGAAGCGGGAAGAGCUCAAAUUUGAAAUCUUCAAGGGUUUACCUUUACGAAUUGUAGUUUAAAGAAGUGUUUUCUGUUGAGGUUUUGGUAAAAGUUCUUUGGAAUAGGACAUCAUAGAGGGUGAGAAUCCCGUAUUUGACCAUUAUUUCCAGCUUUGUGAUACACUUUCAAAGAGUCGGAUUGUUUGGGAAUGCAGUCCAAAAUGGGUGGUAAAUUUCAUCUAAAGCUAAAUAUUGGCGAGAGACCGAUAGCGAACAAGUACCGUGAGGGAAAGAUGAAAAGAACUUUGAAAAGAGAGUUAAACAGUACGUGAAAUUGUCAAAAGGGAAGCGUUUGACACCAGUGUUGUUUUUCUGAAAAUCAAUUAAGGAACUGUUUAUGCUAAGUUGUUUAGACUUUAUCAGCUAACUGUUUAGUUUUGAGCUUUUCUUUAAUGCACUUUUCAGUUAACAAGUCAACAUCAAUUUCUUUUGCUGUAAAAAAGCUUGAGGAAGGUGGCUUGAGAUUCGUCUUAAGUGUUUAUAGCCUCUGGCCUCUGCAGUCGGAGAGAUUGAGGUCUGCAGCGUAGAUCCUUCGGGGUUAGAUACAUUUGUGCUAAGUUAUAGCAUUUUCAUAGACAACUUGUUGACUAUGAUUAGUCAUUGUAGCUUACUCGCUUAUGUUAUUUUACCUACGCUUAGGAUGUUGAUGUGAUACUGCGAGCA